GCUGUUUAAGGGUUCGUAGUUGAAUUGAGGGCUGUCAGGCAGACGAACAAGUCCCGGCCUUCGGCUGGUGACCUUCGCUCCUGCAGUUCGUGAACAUCAGAAACAAACAUCUCGGAAGCGUUUCCUCCCAUCUACGCAUGCAAUGUAUGCAGGGGGGCGUCCGUGUGUCUUACUGUGCUAAAAAAGUGCGACCAAAGCAGUCGUUCGACAUGAAUUAGAAAGCAUGGGAUAACAAAUGUCAGCCUACGGAUUACCGUUUCGGCUUUUGUUGGUUUUAGAGAUCUGUAGGAGAUUAUGGGCUCGCCGACAAGCGGUUCGGGGUUCCGUCCCCACGCCUCCGUCGUCUAUGGCUUUCGGGUCUGGCGGCGGCUUGCGGCGCCCAGGAAUGAAGGAGGGUUGUUCGGGGGAGAACGUCUUGAACGUGAGAGGUGAAAUUCUUAGACCGUUCAAAGACGAACUACAGCGAAGGCAUUCUCCAGGAUACCUUCCUCAAUCAAGAACCAAAGUGUGGAGAUCGAAGAUGAUUAGAUACCUUGUAGUCC
rnacentral:rRNA from 1 species